CUCUUGUUUCUCUUCCGUUAACACAGUGAGAAUGAACUACAUAUCUGGGAGAAGCAGUAUGGCUCAUUGAAGUGAGGCCUGUACAGUGAAUUCUGACCUCAGUCCUGUCUUACCUUGGGCACUGUAACGAGGGCCAGACACACAGAGUUUUCUCCGAGUACUUGCUGGAUUGGCCUGGUCAGGAAGAGGCAUCUAAUGGAACCAAGGAAAAAAGACUGGAAGGACCAGCAGGCUCGUGGAGAGUUUGUCACCUCAGUCCAGGAGUGUGUACAGUGCCGAAGGCUGCCUUUGUGGGCAUCAGUAUUGGCUGCCGGUUAAUGCACCCACUUGAUGGAGAGGCUGUGAUUAAAAAACAGUAAUGAUAAUUUUAUUAAACUCCCUCAACCGUGAGUUGCUUGAUUCAUUAACUUCCUAAUUUUAAUAAAUUAUGUGCAUAUAUUGAUAUAGGGA
rnacentral:lncRNA from 1 species